rnacentral:rRNA from 1 species
CUUCGGGGGCUAGCGGCGGACGGGUGAGUAACACGUAGGCAACCUGCCUCUCAGACUGGGAUAACAUAGGGAAACUUAUGCUAAUACCGGAUAGGUUUUUGGAUCGCAUGAUCUGAAAAGAAAAGAUGGCUUUUCGCUAUCACUGGGAGAUGGGCCUGCGGCGCAUUAGCUAGUUGGUGGGGUAACGGCCUACCAAGGCGACGAUGCGUAGCCGACCUGAGAGGGUGACCGGCCACACUGGGACUGAGACACGGCCCAGACUCCUACGGGAGGCAGCAGU